AGCGUGGAGCAGAGCGGCCGGGAUGACGUGGGAGCCGCCCGGGGCUGACUCACCCGGCCCGGAGUGGAGGCCCCAGGAUGGGGGACAGUGGAACAUACCGGACCCGACCCCGCGCCUUCAUGGACACCUCUUUUACUAGGUCAUCCCAAUGUGUCUGCUGGGACAGGCGGUGGAUGGAUAGAUACACAGCAAAAGAUGUCUGUAGCAUGGGGCACUGCAGUUGAAUUAACGGCAGGAUUUCCACCAAAGGAAUUGAACCAGAGCCUGGAUGGAAUCCCAGCAGACAAGACACAGAAGUAAAUGUGAGGAAGAAGGGUGCUGUCUCCCUGAAGCCCAACUGGAUGGCAACUUGCAAGGACUUAACAAUCCUAAACUCCGUGGGGAGGCCCGGACCCAGAUGCCAGCCCUCCAGAGUCUGAGA